rnacentral:rRNA from 1 species
CCUACGGGUGGCAGCAGUGGGGAAUAUUGCACAAUGGGGGAAACCCUGAUGCAGCAACGCCGCGUGAAUGAAGACGGUUUUCGGAUUGUAAACUUCUGUUAUCAGUGAAGAAUAAUGACGGUAGCUAAAGAGCAAGCCACGGCUAACUACGUGCCAGCAGCCGCGGUAAUACGUAGGUGGCAAGCGUUGUCCGGAAUUACUGGGUGUAAAGGGAGCGCAGGCGGGAAACCAAGUCAGCUGUGAAAACUAUGGGCUUAACUUGUAGACUGCAGUUGAAACUGGUUUACUUGAGUGAAGGAGAGGUAAGUGGAAUUCCGAGUGUAGCGGUGAAAUGCGUAGAGAUUCGGAGGAACACCGGUGGCGAAGGCGGCCAACUGGGCUGUAACUGACGCUGAGGCUUGAGAGUGUGGGGAGCAAACAGGAUUAGAUACCCGAGUAGUC